rnacentral:lncRNA from 1 species
GGCCCACUAAGCAUUGCUGUGCUAAGUGCUACCAAGAAUUUAUUGUCUGCUUUCAGGGUAUGAGGCUGGGCUACAUCUUUACUGGAUAAUCUAUUAAGAUAGGAAUAGAAUUACUUGUGAGGGAAAGAGAGGUCAAGUAAAGACUUGAAGGAUUUGUUUGGGUUUUAUUUUCCUUCCUUUAUUAAAAGAAAAUCAUGGUAGGGCAAAAAGUUGAAAGGACUUGAAAAGCAUGCAUGAGGUAGAAGAGAAGUAGGAGAGAAGUUCCCUUUUCCAGGAGGAGUUGGGACUCCUGCUGGCACCUGCUGUUCAUCCCAGCAAAGACUGGGAAAGGCCCUCUUUCAGGAAGAAGUGGGACUUCAUAGGUCUUCAGAAUCAUGCUGAGAAAUAUUGGAAUGCAGUCCUCCAAACACCCCCAGGGUAUCAGCUGGCUAAUACUUCCCAGACUACUUCAGUCUGCCUCUACACUGGCAUCUUAUUUGAAAUGAAAUCUUUUUCCUACUUGCGUUUCCUUUGAAUCAUUGCUACUGAAUGUGACUGAUGCUCUGAAAGUACGUUACAAAGAGACCUGGAAAGAAGGCUGACUGACUGAGUAUAUGUACAAGAUUCAUAUGCCCAAGGCCUAUAAGCACGCUCUUAAUAGAAAUGUACUACAGAACCUGCACUGAUGUAUUAACUUUGCUACUACUGAAUUACAAGCAGCAGCCACAGGAAGGAGGAUGCAUGGAUGCUACCACAUUUCCAUCCCAGGCUUACAAGAGAGAAAUAAAUGAGGGAAGAUUUGGAGAGCUGAUCCAGAUCUUCAGUCUCAAGACCAACCCUGGAUCAUGAGGAGUAAGAGCUCCUUUCAGGCUGUAUUAAUUCAUGCUGUAGAGGCGUAAUCCCGGUUGGUCUUGAUGUUGCCAUAGAUGUGAGGAAUUCUUCUGCAACCCUGAGCCUGAUGCAGGCCCCAGUGGAAGAGCAGGAGACUGAGUGUUGGCUUCACUGUUCUAGCGUUUUUCCCUCCAACUGUUUCUAUAAUGCUGCAAACCUCUUCCAAAACUGUAUUCUAUCUCUGUUCCAUGGUUUGAAUCUUAAAAAUCUAAGUGGUAUAUAUUUUAACUGCUUUUUGUUACCUUUAGGUGUAGGAUGGAUGUUGCACCUUAUGAUAAUUCUGUAUGAGUUGAUUUUUGUAAGAAUUCAGAGUGAAAACUGGAAAAUAUUUUGUGGUUUGACGGAAAGAUUAGAAAUAGAGACUUAUGGUCCAAGUGGCUCAAUUUUAUUUUGGAUUUAUUUACAGAGGCUGAGAUAUUUGCAGUGGUUAUCAUGGUAAUACUCUUUUCAGUUUCUGGGCUAUUCUGUAGCCAGUUGAUUAAAUCAGGGAGAAAGAAAUGAAAGUGAAAACACAAUAAACCUAUUUUUUAUCC